AGUUUGAGACCAGCCUGGCCAACAUGGUGAAACCCUGUCUCCACUAAAAAUACAAAAAUUAGCUGGGCAUGGUUGCACAUGUCUGUAAUCUCAACUACUCGGGAGGCUGAGGCAGGUGAAUUGCUUGAACCCAGGAGGCGGAGGUUCCAGUGAGCUGAGAUCAUGCCACUGGACUCCUGCCUGGGCGACUGAGCAAGACUCUGUCUCAAAAAAAAAAAAAAGAUGCUGUGGGAAGGAGGCCUCAGUUCCUCCUCUCCAUAGGCUGCUGAGUGGGACAAGAGGAGGGGAGCACUGGGGCCAUCUUGGAGGCUGGCAACCACAACAUCCAUGUAGCCAACACCCAGAGGAAGGAUAUGGAAACUUUAGCACUUCAGAAGCCUGCUUUAUGCCCCUUUCCCAGUCAAUAUCAUCACCCCUCCUUUAACCAGGAGACAACCACUCUUCUGAUUUCUCUCACUGUAAGUUGGUUUUGCCUGUCCUCGAACUUCAUGUAAAGGGAAUCAUACUCCUCUGCGUCUGGUUACUUUCACUGAACAUUAUGUGUGUGGCUCAUCCACAUUACUUGUGGUGGUAGCAUCUUUUAAAAGAAUUGCUGUGUAGUAUUCCAUGGCUUAAACAUAUCAUGGCAGACAUCUGGGUUGUUUCUUCUUCCAGUUUGGGCUGUUACAAAUAAAGGUGCUGUGAGCACUCUUGUACAUGUCAUGUGUUCAGUAUACACACUCAAUUACUUUGGGUUCUGUGAUAGACUUUUUAAACUCUUUACUUACGCAAGCCAAAUCUUAUAGACAUCUUCAUUUAAAAUAGCUUACAGCUACAACUCAUGACUUUAGUACCAAUGGUUAUGACCGACUCGGAAAUAUGGCAUUGUUGCUCAGAAUUCUGGUAAAAUGUUACUCAUCCUAGUAAGGAAGGAUGUUUGAGUUGGUGAUUAAUCCAGUCAUGGGUUGUGGUGUAACUUCCACUCAGCUAGGAUGCUACCAGACGGAGUCUCACUUUGUUGCCCAGGCUAGUCUCAAACUCUUGGGCUCAAGUGCUUUUCCCACCCCAGCCUCCCAAAGUGCUGGGAUUAGAAGCAUGAGCCACCAUGCCUAGCCUCACUCAUAUUUUAAAAUUACCUGAAAGUAUUGCUAAAAAUAAGGAUUAGGUCACCAGGAAAAGAAUCGAAGACUUUCCAGACCCACUGAUACAUAGGUUAUUUAACUGAGGGCUAAGUAUAGUCAGAGGGCCCAGAGAAAACACCUCUGUGUGACUAGUUUACCCUCCAUGUGUUCAUUACGUUAAGCAGAAGAAUAAUUAUUUUCACAUUCCUCGACUAGAAUGUCUAAUGCUAAUUUUGCCUGUCAUUUUUUGUUUUUGUUUUUCUCCAUGCUUUGAAGUACAAAUACUAGGGUGUGAGCUGCUAUGGCUCAAUGGCAUGAAAUAUCAUAAUAUGGUGUGGCUUUGUUCACAGCCUAAGUACUUUAGCAUCUUUUCACAGUGAGAUAAAGUUCACCAAUUUGGCUGGGCGGUGUAAAUGAAAAAAAUGCGUAACACUUUAUAAGAUUAUCUAUCUAAAGUGCUUAGCACGUAACAAUCCCUUAACAAAUUUUAGUUGCUGCUUUUAUUUUUAUUGAUUUACUUAUUUACUAAAGGGCCAGGAGCAUCAUAAAUAAUACGAAUCAGAAAAUUUUCUAUUUUCAGCGUCUUAAAUAACUGUCCCAAUAAUUCUUUUCUGAAUGAAAACUCCUCCAUAUUGUUCAAGCUACUGGCUUCAAUUUUAUGGCUCUAAUAUUGUUCAAGAACAUUACCCACUUAAAACUAUUGAUGUAAUAGGCCAAUUACAUGUUUUAGUGAAAAACAGUAAGUUUGUGAUUCAUCCCAUUUUGGCUUUUGGAACUUUGUUAUCAGUACCCAUAACGUUUUGCUUUGUAUCAGUGAUUAGCAACUAUUUUUGCCAUAAGGGCUAACUAAGGGGAAAAUACAAAGCAUUUAAGGCCAUAUUAUUUUCCUCUUCAAAAUGAAUAUAGCUUUUUGAAAUUCGCACAGGAGAAAAUGUAUAUUUGUACAAAUUUGCUGAAUGAAAGAAUGUCAAUGAGGAAAUGGCACUGAUUUUAGCCACCAAAAUGUUUAUAUCUGGAUGUUUUAACAACAGAGAGCUUUCUAAUAUUUUAUCCUAGAAUCAGGUUGCAGGCUUUUUGUAUAGCUGGUCAGGCUGUAGGCACCUGUGGGGCCUGUGAGUUGCUCAUUUGCUUGAGACAUUUAUCAAAAUAUGCUGAUUUUUGUUGCAUUAAUUGUUAUAAAUUUUAAGAGAAUAUCUCCUAAUUUUGAAGAUUAUAUUCUAUUAUUUACUGAAUUAAAGAUAAUCCUUUUAGUAACUCUGAAAGUUGGUUAAACAAAAAUUCUUUUGGGAUUACAACAUUUUCCUCUAAAAGUGUCUUUACAUAGACACUGACUGAAAACCAGAGCAGAACAUGAAGAAAUAAGCUAAAGAUGUGUUUAAAUAGCAGAAAUACCAUUGCGUUUAUUUUGGUAGAUUACAGAAAGAAGGUUUUAUUUUUGUAUGUGCAGUUAGGCACUGACUGAGGCAUUUAGACACCAUUAAUUAUAAAGUGCAUUGAAAAUAAGUUUUGAUCCCUUUCAAAGGAAUAAUUCAAUAAACCUCAUAUUUCAUUCUUGGAAUCAGUCAUUGAAUAGCACAUAAUGGAAUGUCAGAAGUGGUUUUUUAAUAAUGUAUUUCUGGGACCUUCUUUACUUCUCAGGAGACGCAAUAUACGUUCAUUUUUGGUUAGUUCUGCCGGAAGUUCAUUGGCCUGAA
rnacentral:lncRNA from 1 species